GAUGAACGCUGGCGGCGUGCUUAACACAUGCAAGUCGAACGGGAACUCUAGACUGAAGGUUCGCUGGAUGUUUAGAAAUUCUAGUGGCGGACGGGUGAGUAACGCGUGGGUAACCUGCCUAUAAGACGUGAACAACAGUUAGAAAUGACUGCUAAUACACGAUAAGCACACCAGUAUCGCAUGAUACAGUGUGAAAAGAAUUUCGCUUAUAGAUGGACCCGCGUUUGAUUAGCUAGUUGGCGAGGUAACGGCCCACCAAGGCAACGAUCAGUAGCCGGCCUGAGAGGGUGUACGGCCACAUUGGGACUGAGACACGGCCCAAACUCC
rnacentral:rRNA from 1 species